CAGAUUGUCCAAAAAUAUUAUAGAAUGAUGGCAUCACAGUUCCAACACAGGAUGCUAAUAAGUGUUCUGGAGUUGGAAAUGCAGAUUAAUCAAGGAAGAAGGAAUUUACUUGUGUAUUUAUAUGAGCUGUUGAUGCCUUCAUUUGCUUUCAUAAUACCUUAAGUCCAAAUACUACAAUCUUUUCAGAGUACAUAUCCAUGAGUUUCAAAGACAACGGGCAAGGAAAUUAUACUUUUGCAUGGAGAAAAAGUGGAGUGUAUAUAAGGAGCUACGCAGAAAUGGAAAAGUGCUCUGAGAUUUUCGUAUGCCCACCUCUGGCUCAUUGGGGUUAGCAGAAGGUUUUUGACUAUAAUUACAACACUUUCAACAACUAUAAUUACCAGGGACUACGUUUUUGACUUCACACCCAGAAAGAGCACAAGUUUUCUUUCUUCCUUUCAUUAUAACAAUGAUGGUGAAAUUUAUUUCCAGGCACAAAACAUACGACAUACCAGAAGUAAGAUUAUUUGUGAAAAACUACAUUGAUGCUGUUGGCUGAAAAAGCCGAGGCCCAUGCCAUUGUAUUGGUGAAGGUUUGCUAUUUGUGGGUGCCAAUGGAGGCGGCACCAUGUGGGGUUUGUGGUAAGAUCACAUUGUUGUGUUUUAUAAGAAUAUAUGUGUUUAUUCAUAUGAAGCUAAUUGAUAAUCUCUGUUCGCAUCUGCAGAAUGUAAGUAUAUGUGAUUAUUUAUGUGAAGCUGAUUGAUAAUCUCACUAG